GACGAACGCUGGCGGCGUGCUUAACACAUGCAAGUCGAACGGAAAGGCCCGGCUUUUGUUGGGGGCUCGAGUGGCGAACGGGUGAGUAACACGUGAGUCACCUGCCCUUGACGUUGGGAUAACUUCAAUAAACUGGGGCUAAUACCGGUAAUGAGCUCCUGCUCCACGGGGGGGGUUGGGAAGUUUCGGCGGUUGGGGUUGGAGUCGCGGCUUAUCAGGUUGUUGGUCGGGUAGUUGCUUACCAAGGCGUCGACGGGUAGCCGGCCUGAGAGGCUGACCGGCCAUAUUGCGACGAAGCUACGGCCCAGACGCCGACGGGAAGCAGGAGUGGUGAGUAUAACACAGUGGGCGGGAGCCUGCUGCAGCAACGCCGGGUGCGGGGUGAUGGACUUCGGGUGAUCAAGCGCUUUCGCCUGUGAUGAAGCGUGAGUGACGGUAAUGGGUAAAGAAGCACCGGCUAACUACGUG
rnacentral:rRNA from 1 species